UACGUAGGGUGCGAGCGUUGUCCGGAAUUAUUGGGCGUAAAGAGCUCGUAGGCGGUGUGUCACGUCGGCCGUGAAAACCUGCAGCUUAACUGUGGGCGUGCGGUCGAUACGGGCAUCACUGGAGUUCGGCAGGGGAGACUGGAAUUCCUGGUGUAGCGGUGAAAUGCGUAGAUAUCGGGAGGAACACCAGUGGCGAAGGCGACUACCUGGCCUGUUUCUUGACGCUGAGGCGCGAAAGCUAGGGGAGCAAACGGG
rnacentral:rRNA from 1 species